CACGUAGGGUGCGAGCGUUGUCCGGAAUUAUUGGGCGUAAAGAGCUCGUAGGCGGUGUGUCGCGUCGGCCGUGAAAACCUGCAGCUUAACUGUGGGCUUGCGGUCGAUACGGGCAUCACUGGAGUUCGGCAGGGGAGACUGGAAUUCCUGGUGUAGCGGUGAAAUGCGCAGAUAUCAGGAGGAACACCGGUGGCGAAGGCGGGUCUCUGGGCCGAUACUGACGCUGGAUGCACGAAAGCUAGGGGAGCAAACAGG
rnacentral:rRNA from 1 species